rnacentral:lncRNA from 1 species
AAUCAUGGAUGUGGCUGGUGUCUCCUCAUUUGUCAUUUUUCUACGGUGCUGCUUCCAAGUCAAGCAUGAGAUGUUGGGUUACCACUAGGUUUUGUUUUGUCUUCUGAGAGCAUCUACAGUCGGAGUCGGACCCCUCAAACUCACUCAAACGUCCGGACACAAAAAAUCGAUCCAUCUGAACCUCUCAAACGGGCCUUACACACACGGGUUGACCGACACCACACAUAUCCAACCUAAAUAUGGGGGCGGAUAUGGAGGAGUCCGGACG